rnacentral:rRNA from 1 species
CGAAAGCCUGACGGAGCAAGACCGCGUGGGGGAGGAAGGCUCUUGGGUUGUAAACCCCUUUUCUCAGGGAAGAACAAAUGACGGUACCUGAGGAAUCAGCCUCGGCUAACUCCGUGCCAGCAGCCGCGGUAAUACGGAGGAGGCAAGCGUUAUCCGGAAUUAUUGGGCGUAAAGAGUCCGUAGGUGGUUCAUCAAGUCUGCUGUUAAAGCGUGCAGCUCAACUGCAUAUAGGCAGUGGAAACUGUUGAACUAGAGUAUGGUAGGGGUAGGGGGAAUUCCCAGUGUAGCGGUGAAAUGCGUAGAUAUCGGGAAGAACAUCGGUGGCGAAAGCGCUCUGCUGGGCCGCAACUGACACUCAGGGACGAAAGCUAGGGGAGCG